UACGGAGGGGGCUAGCGUUGUUCGGAAUUACUGGGCGUAAAGCGCGCGUAGGCGGACCUGCAAGUCGGGGGUGAAAGCCCGAGGCUCAACCUCGGAACUGCCUUCGAUACUGCGGGUCUCGAGUCCGGGAGAGGUGAGUGGAAUUCCUAGUGUAGAGGUGAAAUUCGUAGAUAUUGGGAGGAACACCAGUGGCGAAGGCGGCUUUCUGGACGGUGUCUGACGCUGAGGCGCGAAAGCUAGGGGAGCAAACAGG
rnacentral:rRNA from 1 species